UAGAGUUUGAUCCUGGCUCAGGACGAACGCUGGCGGCAUGCCUAAUACAUGCAAGUCGAACGAACCAAACUGUUGAUUGAAGCUUGCUUCUUGAUUCAGAUCUUGGUGAGUGGCGGACGGGUGAGUAACACGUGGGUAACCUGCCCAGAAGUGGGGGAUAACAUUUGGAAACAAGUGCUAAUACCGCAUAACAACUUAGAUCACAUGAUCUUUGUUUAAAAGAUGGUUUUGCUAUCUCUUCUGGAUGGACCCGCGGCGUAUUAGCUAGUUGGUGAGGUAAUAGCUCACCAAGGCGAUGAUACGUAGCCGACCUGAGAGGGUAAUCGGCCACAUUGGGACGAGACACGGCCCAAACUCCUACGGGAGGCAGCAGUAGGGAAUCUUCCACAAUGGACGAAAGUCUGAUGGAGCAAUGCCGCGUGAGUGAAGAAGGUUUUCGGAUCGUAAAACUCUGUUGUUGAAGAAGAACAUAUGUGAGAGUAACUGUUCACGUACUGACGGUAUUCAACCAGAAAGCCACGGCUAACUACGUGCCAGCAGCCGCGGUAAU
rnacentral:rRNA from 1 species